rnacentral:lncRNA from 1 species
UUCCGAGGUUGUUAAAAUGGGGAGCCAGAUUGUUGGGAGCAACAGGCUGACUCUGUAAACGGCUUAGAGAGGGCUGUAAAUGCAUUGUGAAGCAGUAUAUAAAUCUAAGUGCUGUUGCUAUUGCUCUCUCUCUUUUUCCCUCUUUGCAGAUCGAGGGGGGAACCGUGCAACGGGAUUUCAAGCAGACACGGAGCCAGGAUCAAAUUAUAGAGAUCUUUUUGAAGUUUGUGAAGAAUCGCGUGGAUGUGUUGAAAAUCUACUUGGCCCGCCUGGAGAAUUUAUGCCAAGCCUUGGAUGAGUCCAACUUCUUCAAGAGGCACGAGGUGGUCGGGAGUUCUCUGCUCUUCCUCCACGACCAGAAAGGCCAUGCCAGCAUCUGGAUGAUCGACUUUGGCAAGACUCUCCCAGCGCCAGCCCACUCCCACCUUCGCCACAACGUGGCUUGGACCCCCGGGAGCCACGAAGACGGCUACCUGAUCGGCCUGCAGCACCUGACCCACACCAUCCGGGCGACUCUGGCCAGAGCCGAGCAGAGCCAGGAGCCUCUCCUGGGUCCCUCCUGAGCCUGCGGCCCCCGGCACACAGCCGAGAGUGGUGGCAGCCGUGCUGCUUGGGGAGGGGGCAGCUGCUUUGCCAGAACGGUGGAGGGAGCCGGGACCCCCUUGCAACAUCCCAGAUCUUGCCGAAAAGCUGUGACCUGCCGGCUGUUGGGAUUGCAACCGCACCAGAAACACACAACACAAGGAUUUUGUGGCGAAGGGAUGUAAUUUCCUCUCCAGCCUUCCCGUUCCUUUUCCGGCUCACCUCCCCACACCAAAGGGGUCUCCAAAGGGGUCUCUCAUUUCCCGAGGCCAUUUUCAAGCCCCUCCGGGGUGGGGCCGACCUCCCUCCCCCCCUUGGAAAAACAGCGACAGCGAGGAGGGCCACGGAAUCCCAAAGGAAAAGAAGAAUCGUGGCGAAGUUGCUCACACGGGAUCGAAGGCCGGACUUUCACAGGAAGAGGGGAGAUUCAGAACCGGGGAUCGCCCAGAGUUUAUCCGCCGUGAACCGAACCGCCGUUUUACUCUGUCUGCCCCGACUUUGCAGUUUUCGUGCAACCUGCCGGAGCGAAAGGUGGCUGCGAGGGCCGGACUUUGGCAAGGCUGGGUCAUCUGCAAGUCAGGGUGUCACACGUGUACUACACCCCCCCUGGACAAGUCGGAAACUGGUACCUUUGCAAAGAUGCAACCUCCUCUUGGGAUGUUGGCUUGAGAUGAAUUAAAAGCCAGGCAGAGGGGCC